rnacentral:rRNA from 1 species
UGGGGAAUAUUGGACAAUGGGCGCAAGCCUGAUCCAGCCAUGCUGCGUGAGUGAUGAAGGCCCUAGGGUUGUAAAGCCCUUUCACCGGUGAAGAUAAUGACGGUAACCGGAGAAGAAGCCUCGGCUAACUUCGUGCCAGCAGCCGCGGUAAUACGAAGGGGGCUAGCGUUGUUCGGAUUUACUGGGCGUAAAGCGCACGUAGGCGGACUUUUAAGUCAGGGGUGAAAUCCCGGGGCUCAACCCCGGAACUGCCUUUGAUACUGGAAGUCUUGAGUAUGGUAGAGGUGAGUGGAAUUCCGAGUGUAGAGGUGAAAUUCGUAGAUAUUCGGAGGAACACCAGUGGCGAAGGCGGCUCACUGGACCAUUACUGACGCUGAGGUGCGAAAGCGUGGGGAGCAAACAGG